UUGUACGGUUCAGGUUCGUAC
rnacentral:siRNA from 1 species